AACGCACAUUGCGCCCCUUGGUAUUCCAUGGGGCAUGCCUGUUCGAGCGUCAUUUGUACCUUCAAGCUCUGCUUGGUGUUGGGUGUUUUGUCUCGCCUCUGCGUGUAGACUCGCCUUAAAACAAUUGGCAGCCGGCGUAUUGAUUUCGGAGCGCAGUACAUCUCGCGCUUUGCACUCAUAACGGCGACGUCCAAAAGUACAUUUUUACACUCUUGACCUCGGAUCAGGUAGGGAUACCCGCUGAACUUAA
rnacentral:misc_RNA from 1 species